GGGGAAUUUUUGCGCAAUGCUCGAGAGAGUGACGCAGCGACGCCGCGUGAAUGACGAAGGCCUUCGGGUCGUAAAGUUCUUUCGACAGGGAAGAAAAAUGUAUAUCAGUAACUGGGUAUAUAGUGACGGUACCUGUAUAAGCAGCCCCGGCUAACUCCGUGCCAGCAGCCGCGGUAAUACGGAGGGGGCGAGCGUUGUUCGGAGUGACUGGGCGUAAAGAGCACGUAGGCGGUGUUGUAAGUCAUUAGUCAAAGGCUAGAGCUCAACUUUAGUAAGGCUAGUGAUACUACAAUACUAGAGUAUCGGAGAGGAUUGCAGAAUUCCUGGUGUAGCGGUGAAAUGCGUAGAUAUCAGGAGGAAUACCGGUAGCGAAGGCGGCAAUC
rnacentral:rRNA from 1 species